CGAGCGCAACCCUUGUCCUUAGUUUACCAGCACGUUAUGGUGGGCACUCUAAGGAGACUGCCGGUGCAAACCGGAGGAAGGUGGGGAUGACGUCAAGUCAUCAUGGCCCUUACGGCCUGGGCUACACACGUGCUACAAAUGGUCGGUACAAAGGGUUGCCAAGCCGCGAGGUGGAGCUAAUCCCAUAAAACCGAUCGUAGUCCGGAUCGCAGUCUGCAACUCGACUGCGUGAAGUCGGAAUCGCUAGUAAUCGUGAAUCAGAAUGUCACGGUGAAUACGUUCCCGGGCCUU
rnacentral:rRNA from 1 species